GUGGGGAAUCUUGCGCAAUGGGCGAAAGCCUGACGCAGCCAUGCCGCGUGAAUGAUGAAGGUCUUAGGAUUGUAAAAUUCUUUCACCGGGGACGAUAAUGACGGUAUCCGGAGAAGAAGCUCCGGCUAACUUCGUGCCAGCAGCCGCGGUAAUACGAAGGGGGCUAGCGUUGCUCGGAAUUACUGGGCGUAAAGGGCGCGUAGGCGGACAGCUUAGUCAGAGGUGAAAGCCCAGGGCUCAACCUUGGAAUUGCCUUCGAUACUGGCUGUCUUGAGUUUGGGAGAGGUGAGUGGAACUCCGAGUGUAGAGGUGAAAUUCGUAGAUAUUCGGAAGAACACCAGUGGCGAAGGCGACUCACUGGCCCAAUACUGACGCUGAGGCGCGAAAGCGUGGGGAGCAAACAGGAUUAGAAACCCCAGUAGUCC
rnacentral:rRNA from 1 species